rnacentral:rRNA from 1 species
ACUCAAAUGAAUAGACGGGGGCCCGCACAAGCGGUGGAGCAUGUGGUUUAAUUCGACGCAACGCGAAGAACCUUACCAAGGCUUGACAUCCUACUAACGAAGCAGAGAUGCAUAAGGUGCCCUUCGGGGAAAGUAGAGACAGGUGGUGCAUGGUUGUCGUCAGCUCGUGCCGUGAGGUGUUGGGUUAAGUCCCGCAACGAGCGCAACCCUUGCCUUCAGUAGCCAGCGAGUAAAGUUGGGGACUCUGGAGGGACUGCCGUGGAUAACACGGAGGAAGGUGGGGACGAUGUCAAAUCAUCAUGCCCUUUAUGUCUUGGGCUACACACGUGCUACAAUGGCGCUAACAGAGCGAAGCGAAGUCGCGAGACGGAGCAAAGCGCAAAAAAGGCGCCUCAGUUCGGAUUGCAGGCUGCAACCCGCCUGCAUGAAGUCGGAAUCGCUAGUAAUCGCGAAUCAGCAUGUCGCGGUGAAUACGUUCCCGGGCCUUGUACACACCGCCCGU